rnacentral:rRNA from 1 species
UACGACGGGGACUAGCGUUGUUCGGAAUCACUGGGCGUAAAGCGCACGUAGGCGGAUUCGUAAGUCAGGGGUGAAAUCCCGGGGCUCAACCUCGGAACUGCCUUUGAUACUGCGGGUCUUGAGUCCGAUAGAGGUGGGUGGAAUUCCUAGUGUAGAGGUGAAAUUCGUAGAUAUUAGGAAGAACACCGGUGGCGAAGGCGGCCCACUGGAUCGGUACUGACGCUGAGGUGCGAAAGCGUGGGGAGCAAACAGG